ensembl:lncRNA podocalyxin-like
AUGAAGUCUCUCAGGGUCUUUGUCCUCCUCCUGCUCCAUCAGGUCCUCAUAUCAGCGGCGUCGCCUGAUGAAGUGACGCACAAGGCGACGACACCAGCUGAGGAAGUAAUUGGAUCUAGCACAGCAGCACUAAGUGCACCAGCACCAACGCUGCCAGCAUCACCAAGAACCACAUCACAUCUAACACCAACCACAGCCCGGAAAACCUCUGCUGCCCCGCCUCCUCCCACCACCAUCACUACUACUCCAGAAAACAGAAAAACUGCUCCUCCUGCUUCAACCGUGAAGACCCUUGCUUCCUCAGCAGCACCGACAGAUACCCACACAUCUGCAGCUGUUACCAUGACAACCAAUACAACCGGCGGUUUGGAGGUGAGAGGUAAUCGCCCUUUCAGGACAGGAAGCACUUCAGACAUCCAAAAAGAGACAGACGUAAAGGAUUUAACCAAGUUGUUAGAACCUGACAGCACCGAAAAGCCCCAAACAGCACACCACACUGAAUCAACGCCUGCAAAGCCACAUGAGAAAGAAGAGUCCAAAGACAGAGGUUUGCAGACAGGAAGUGAGGAGAAAAUACCUCCUAAAUCAGCCUCAGACAAACGCCUGUGGUGGAUUCUGCUUCCUGUCCUCCUGGUGGGAGCUGCUGCUGCUAUCAUCCUCAAGUUCAAAUCUAAGAAAGUCCACAAUCACCAAGAAACUCUUGACGCUGGAACUGAGAACGCGUCCUUCCAGAGCAGGCCUGAAAUCACCAAAGAUGGCGUCAUGCUCCUCGGGGUGAAGUCAUCGAGCGGAGAGGAAAAUGCUGCAGCGAGAUAAAAAAGAAGACAAAGAAAACUUACGGAAGGCAUCAUCACUCUCACAGCUUUUUUUAUAUGUGUGAUCCAAAAAGAUUCACGUUAAGACACUUUACUGGGAAGAAAGAGGAGCUACGAAGGUCUUUAAAACGUUAAAGUUCAGUUUCCAAACUUAAAGUAUGAUAAAUAACUAAAAAAAAGCUUUUCUGAACCAAACAUUUUUAAUAGGUUAAUGACGUGACAUCUAGAUAUUCUGUCGAAUUGCAUUUCUUUUAGUUUAAAAAAAAAGGUUCAAAUGCAUAAAAAUAUGCCAAAUAUGUCAUAACUUUAAAUUAUUUAAAUUACCCUAAACUUAUUCAAAUGUAUUUCCUGCUCUGAUUUAGUUAUAUAUUGUAGUCGUGUAUAAGAUUUCAAAGUAUUUCUAUUUUUAUUUCCAUCAUGAUAUUCAUGCAAAUCUUCCCUGAUGAUGCCCAUUUUAUGAAAUAUCAUGCAGUGAAAUCCUUGCUAGGAAGCUAAUAGCUAAUGUCACAAAUCAAAAUAAAAAAAACCCUUUGGUUCUGACGCUUCA